UUGGAGGGCAAGUCUGGUGCCAGCAGCCGCGGUAAUUCCAGCUCCAAUAGCGUAUAUUAAAGUUGUUGCAGUUAAAAAGCUCGUAGUUGAAUUUCGAGACCGGUUUACUGGUCGUGCUUUUGUACGUACUGGUAUUAUUGGUUUCUCCUUUCUGACGAACUAUAAUGCCAUUAAUUUGGUGUUUUAGGGAAUCAGGACUGUUACUUUGAAAAAAUUAGAGUGUUUAAAGCAGGCUCACGCUUGAAUACAUUAGCAUGGAAUAACGGAAUAGGACGUUUGAUUCUAUUUUGUUGGUUUCUAGGAUCGACGUAAUGAUUAAUAGGGAUAGUUGGGGGCAUUAGUAUUCAAUUGUCAGAGGUGAAAUUCUUGGAUUUAUUGAAGACUAACUACUGCGAAAGCAUUUGCCAAGGAUGUUUUCAUUAAUCAAGAACGAAAGUUAGGGGAUCGAAGACGAUCAGAUACCGUCGUAGUCUUAACCAUAAACUAUGCCGACUAGGGAUCGGAUGAUGUUAAUUUUUUAAUGACUCAUUCGGCGCCUUACGGGAAACCAAAGUGUUUGGGUUC
rnacentral:rRNA from 1 species